AUAACCCCGGGAAACCGGGGCUAAUACCGAAUAUGACCUUGCACCGCAUGGUGUUUGGUGGAAAGUUUUUCGGCUUGGGAUGGGCUCGCGGCCUAUCAGCUUGUUGGUGGGGUGAUGGCCUACCAAGGCGACGACGGGUAGCCGGCCUGAGAGGGCGACCGGCCACACUGGGACUGAGACACGGCCCAGACUCCUACGGGAGGCAGCAGUGGGGAAUAUUGCACAAUGGGCGGAAGCCUGAUGCAGCGACGCCGCGUGAGGGAUGACGGCCUUCGGGUUGUAAACCUCUUUCAGCAGGGACGAAGCGUAAGUGACGGUACCUGCAGAAGAAGCGCCGGCCAACUACGUGCCAGCAGCCGCGGUAAGACGUAGGGCGCGAGCGUUGUCCGGAUUUAUUGGGCGUAAAGAGCUCGUAGGCGGCUUGUCGCGUCGACUGUGAAAACCCGCAGCUCAACUGCGGGCCUGCAGUCGAUACGGGCAGGCUAGAGUUCGGUAGGGGAGACUGGAAUUCCUGGUGUAGCGGUGAAAUGCGCAGAUAUCAGGAGGAACACCGGUGGCGAAGGCGGGUCUCUGGGCCGAUACUGACGCUGAGGAGCGAAAGCGUGGGGAGCGAACAGGAUUAGAUACCCUGGUAGUCCACGCUGUAAACGUUGGGCGCUAGGUGUGGGGGGCCUCUCCGGUUCCCUGUGCCGCAGCUAACGCAUUAAGCGCCCCGCCUGGGGAGUACGGCCGCAAGGCUAAAACUCAAAGG
rnacentral:rRNA from 1 species